rnacentral:lncRNA from 1 species
UGAUUGUAUGGAGGGAUGUUCUCUAUAUUAUCAUUAGCAGGAAUUAGUGUUCUACAGAGUUCAAAAGCGCCCAAUGUUCUCACGCGGAAGUAGUCGAUCAUUACAGACUGCCCAGCACUUGAUUCAAAUGCAGUCCACUUCUACCUGCCGUAUCCAAGGUGCGUUGAAAAUGGUAGUCAUGUGCUUUAACUUUAUGAGUGGCUGUAAUCUAGAACAUAUAGGUAAGGAAGAUUAUUUCUGCAGGUCCUAUCUAGGCCUUAAGCGAUUGAUUUAACGAGAUUG